rnacentral:rRNA from 1 species
CAGCCGCCGCGGGAAUACGGAGGGCGCGAGCGUUACCCGGAUUUACUGGGCGUAAAGGGCGUGUAGGCGGCCUGGGGCGUCCCAUGUGAAAGGCCACGGCUCAACCGUGGAGGAGCGUGGGAUACGCUCAGGCUAGAGGGUGGGAGAGGGUGGUGGAAUUCCCGGAGUAGCGGUGAAAUGCGCAGAUACCGGGAGGAACGCCGAUGGCGAAGGCAGCCACCUGGUCCACUUCUGACGCUGAGGCGCGAAAGCGUGGGGAGCAAACCGGAUUAGAUACCCCCGUAGUCCCUGUCUCUUAUAC